rnacentral:rRNA from 1 species
UGAGGAAUAUUGGUCAAUGGGCGCGAGCCUGAACCAAGCCAAGUCGCGUGAGGGAUGACGGCCCUACGGGUUGUAAACCUCUUUUGUCGGGGAGCAAAUUCCGUUACGUGUAACGGAGUCGAGAGUACCCGAAGAAAAAGCAUCGGCUAACUCCGUGCC